AUACGUAGGGGGCGAGCGUUGUCCGGAAUCACUGGGCGUAAAGGGCGUGUAGGCGGCCUGUUAAGUCAGGCGUGAAACCCCUGGGCUUAACCUGGGGACUGCGCUUGAAACUGGUGGGCUUGAGGGCAGGAGAGGAAAGUGGAAUUCCCGGUGUAGCGGUGAUAUGCGUAGAUACCGGGAGGAACACCAGUGGCGAAGGCGGCUUUCUGGACUGCACCUGACGCUGAGGCGCGAAAGCCAGGGGAGCGAACGGGAUUAGAUACCCCGGUAGUCCUGGCCGUAAACGAUGGGUACUAGGUGUGGGAGGUAUCGACUCCUUCCGUGCCGGAGUUAACACAAUAAGUACCCCGCCUGGGGAGUACGGCCGCAAGGCUGAA
rnacentral:rRNA from 1 species